rnacentral:rRNA from 1 species
GAUGAACGCCAGCGGCAGGCCUAAUACAUGCAAGUCGAACGGUGUCUUCGGACAUAGUGGCGCACGGGUGCGUAACACGUAUGCAACCUACCUUACAUUGGGGGAUAGCCUUUCGAAAGGGAGAUUAAUACCGCAUAAGACAGUAGCUGGGCAUCCAGCAGCUGUUAAAGAUUUAUCGAUGUAAGCUGGGCAUGCGUCCAAUUAGCUAGUUGGUGAGGUAACGGCUCACCAAGGCAAUGAUUGGUAGGGGAACUGAGAGGUCAAUCCCCCACACUGGCAAUGAGGUACGGGCCAGACUCCUGCGGGAGGCAGCAGUAGGGAAUAUUGGGCAAUGGACGAAAGUCUGACCCAGCCAUGCCGCGUGCAGGAUGAAGGCGUUAUGCGUUGUAAACUGCUUUUAUACAGGAAGAAACGACUCUUGCGAGGGGCAUUGACGGUACUGUAUGAAUAAGCACCGGCUAACUCCGUGCCAGCCGCCGCCGUAACAC